AUUGGAGGGCAAGUCUGGUGCCAGCAGCCGCGGUAAUUCCAGCUCCAGUAGCGUAUAUUAAAGUUGUUGCAGUUAAAAAGCUCGUAGUUGAACUUUGGGUCUGGUUGGCCGGUCCGAUUUUAUGUCGCGCACUGGUUUUCAACCGGAUCUUUCCUUCUGGCUAACCUGUACUCCUUGUGGGUGCAGGCGAACCAGGACUUUUACUUUGAAAAAAUUAGAGUGUUCAAAGCAGGCGAAAGCUCGAAUAUAUUAGCAUGGAAUAAUGGAAUAGGACGUUUGGUUCUAUUUUGUUGGUUUCUAGGACCAUCGUAAUGAUUAAUAGGGACGGUCGGGGGCAUCAGUAUUCAAUUGUCAGAGGUGAAAUUCUUGGAUUUAUUGAAGACUAACUACUGCGAAAGCAUUUGCCAAGGACGUUUUCAUUAAUCAAGAACGAAAGUUAGGGGAUCGAAGAUGAUCAGAUACCGUCGUAGUCUUAACCAUAAACUAUGCCGACUAGGGAUCGG
rnacentral:rRNA from 1 species